rnacentral:rRNA from 1 species
CCUACGGGAGGCAGCAGUGAGGAAUAUUGGUCAAUGGUCGGGAGACUGAACCAGCCAAGCCGCGUGAGGGAUGAAGGUACAGAGUAUCGUAAGCCUCUUUUGUCAGGGAACAAAGGCGGGGACGUGUCCCCGGAUGAGUGUACCUGAAGUAAAAGCAUCGGCUAACUCCGUCCCAGCGGCCGCGGUACUACGGGGGAUGCGAUCGUUAUCCGGAUUUAUUGGGUUAAAGGGGGGCGCAGGGGGUCUGUUAAGCCAGCGGUGAAACCCCGGGGCGCAACCCCGGCCCGCCGUUGAAACUGGCAGUCUCGAGUUGGAGAGAAGUAUGCGGAAUGCGCGGUGUAGCGGUGAAAUGCAUAGAUAUCGCGCAGAACUCCGAUUGCGAAGGCAGCAUGCCGGCUCCACACUGACGCUGAGGCACGAAAGCGUGGGUAUCGAACAGGAUUAGAUACCCGAGUAGUC